ensembl:lncRNA
CCAGGGGAUAGCAGAGCAAUUGAAGGAUCAUGUGGAGGUGUCCAUCGGUGGCUCCGUCAUCGGGCGUGUGCAUGACUGUACUUCCCUCUGCCGCAGACACCUCAGCCACCGUCUAGCCAGGCGAACCUGUUUGGUGUGCUCACUGCGUGAUGAAGCCCAUAGGCCAUGAAUGACACAUCGUGACUCAUGGAUGCCCCGGCUCUUUGCAUCCUGCACACAGACACAUGACGGACACUUGAUGAGACUCCUUGAUACAAAAAGCGUAUACUUUUUAGUUUUACAAGGAAGGAUUCUCUCCAAGGAAAAGUUCAAGUGGAUUUUUGGCUACCCAGCAAAUUAUUCUAACAGCCAACUCUGUGAAAUACUGUAUCUAUGAAGAAAAUGAGACCUAGAGAAGUCAAGGACCUCGCCCAGGAUCCCUUGCCUGUAAGGAUGAAGCCAGGAUUCAAAUUCAGACAGCCCGGGUCCCAGAGCCAGCAUGCUUUUAACCUCAUUCACCUCUCUUCCAGGUAUUCAGAGCUCAUACUUUUUAAAACAGAAUUAUCCUUAGGAUAAGAAUGGUCCAGUUUACUACAACCCAUGGUGUCAGCUGUACUGUGUAGACUCCAUCAAGAAAUAAUGCAUGUGGGGUGGGUGCUUGGAGCAGGGGAAAACACCACUCUCUGAAGUAAGGCCUGGUUAAAAUUACAGCGUUGGCCCAAAUCCUACACUCAGAUCACUGCAGGACCUGGAUGGUACUGAAUCCCAACCUAUAGUCGAUUCUAGUCCUAAAACUGAUGUUGUUCCCAUUUGAUGUCUUGGAAACAAACCAGUGUUGGGGCACUUUCAAGUGGUUUCUAUAAUGAGCAUUAGUAAACCCACAGGUGUGCCUAAAUGAGGAUUCGUGAAGCUGAGCAUACUUUCCCAACCCUAUAUUUCAGAAAAGUUGGCUCCCUUUUAUGUACAAAAUGAGAUAGAAUUAGAUGUACUAGUCCAAAUGAAGAGAAAUAGGUUCUCUUUCAUAUUUGUAAGACUCUAAAAGGUGUACAUAACAAUAAGUUAUUCAAAACAGCAACUUCUCAAACCCUGCCCUUUUCCAUAAAUUUCUUUAAACAGUCAGAAAAUUCACAAUUUAAUAAAAAUAAAGACCCUUGGAAAGGCUAGUCAAAGAAUAGGCCCAUUUAGUAACUUCAUGAAUAUAGGAGCUAAAAAUUAAAAUCUUCCAUUUUGACUUCCUGCUGGAAAAGUCAAAGCCAGUUCAGACCAUCUGGAGGGCAGACUACAUCUCCAGAACAUACUGUUUACUUUUAAAGUUCCCUGGGAGUGUGGGAAGGUGACAAGUUUUCUUUUUUUUUUUUUUUGUCCUUUGGUUAUCUGUGUUUCUAAUGUUUCUACAAUGGACAUGCAUUGCUCUUGUCAUAAUAAAAAUAAAUGAGAAAAGCUAUUUUUAUUUAUUUAUUUAUUUUUUUAAAUUUUUUAUUGGAUUUUAGGUUUUGGGGUACAUGAGCAGAGCAUGCAAGACAGUUGCGUAGGAACACACAUGGCAGUGUGCUUUUCUUUCCUUCUCCCCUUCACCCACAUUUGGCAUUUCUCCCCAGGCUAUCCCUCCCCACCUCCCCCUCCCACUGGCCCUCCCCUUUUCCCCGCAAUAGACCCCAGUGUUUAGUACUCCCCUUUCUGUGU